rnacentral:lncRNA from 1 species
UUUUUUUUAACCCAAGUACACUCAAACACUAUAUCACCUACCUAUCAGAUCCUCCCUUUGACUAUCAAGAUUCAAAGUAGGAGCGAAACAGUAUCAACAGUGAUAUCAUCACCUGACACAACCACCUAAAACUCUAAAUUGGACAAGGCAUUAUAAACUUCCAUUGUAUUUUACCUCAACUAACUCGUCUGUCCUCCCUUUAAGCAUUUCUGGAAAGAGGGUAGAUAAGAUCUAUCUUACAGCAAGAAAAACUGGGCAAAGAUUGCAAUUCCUCAGUUUUCAGAACAUUUAUGAAAAUAAGGAAUUAGUUUUGAAUAGUUUUAAUCACUGCUUAUGUCCUGAGUCACUGACUAACUAGUCUUUGUUUUGACUCGUGCGUUAUGUUUAAAUGUCAAACAGUUUUUGCUAUAAUACAACAACAUCAUGCAGUAUUCUGAUUAGGUCAACAGCAUGAUGUGCCCAAUGUGAAUACUCAGAAAUGGGUCACUGAAAAGACACCUGACAUCACAUGACCAAAGUACCGAUAACACCCUUACAUACUUUCUCAGGAGUCUCUAUUAUAGUCAGUUACACAGUCUUACCAGUUCAUUUAAAUUUAUAAUACUUGUACUUACAUCACCUCACUAUAAAUGAAUUGAAAUAAUCUUGCAUCUUCAGCAACUUGGACAAGUAAGCUCCUUGUGACAUUAUGUUUAUUUUUGUAUACUCUAACGUAGUGUCUCAGCACAUUGAGAAGAACACUCAAAGCACAAUACUUCUGCCAUAUACUCUGUUCCAUGCAACCAAAACCCUCUGUUUACCUGUGUGCAAAGGUACUUCAUGAAGAUUGAUAAAACAUUUACUUAUAUUCAGAAAAAUCAGACUUAGGCUACAGUCAAACAAUGAGUCAUUUUAGAUAAGUCAAAGAAUUAUCAUUUAUGUGAAUGCACAGUAUUUAAUACUUAUUCUAGUGUUAAUAGACGUAGUCAAAUCCUCAUAAUCCCUUGGGACCCUUUAAUGCAGUACUUUCACCCACACAGUCUUUCUCUGCUGUUCAUUCUAUUUCCUACAUGAUCAGAGACAUAUAACAAUGUAAUCUAAAUGCAUUUCCUUAGAGAAAGAGAAAGAAAACCAAGCAUAACAGAUAAAGAACAAUGUAGAGUGGAAAAAGAAACACUAUAACAAAAGAACAAAAGAAAAAAGCCCAUCUAAGUAGGCCACUCACAAUGUUAAAUUGGAUAAGUGAAUAAUUUUAGGAAGCGGUAUAAAUGUUAGCAUGUUUGUGUUACAAACUACUAAAAUGCUCCAGUUAGUGCUUCCUAGAAUAGCAAGAAAGUGGCACAUCUCUCCUCAUGAGAUCUCAGCACCACACUCUGAGCUACAUGAUAAACUAGGUUACACAGGUUUAUUGGAAAGUCUGCAUAUUGCCAUUGGGAAUAGAGCAUUUAAUAGACUUGGCUAAUAAAGAGUCUGUAAUACUGAAACAGGUCGUGUGAAUACACAAAUACCUCUCAGUGUAUUUCCACCUUCAGUAGGAUUGAAAGGAUAAAACUUCUCAGAUCCCACUUUCUCCUGAGUUCUCCCACCAACAGCUCUCCCCAUGUUAUUUCCAGGGGUGACCAAAUAAUUAUGAAGCAAUGAAAUGUAGAAGUCCUCUAGAAUAUUUUUGCAAUGCAUAAUAGUCAAUUAAAAAUAUAUUAAACAUACACUACAUUUAACUCCAGUGAGCAAAUCAAGGUAUCUCACACAAGCAGAGAGUGUCUCGAACAUAAGUAUUCAGAAAUUUUGUUGCUGAGAACAGUUAAAUACAUAUAUAUUUUUAGUGUUUAACAGCUAUAUUAAAAUCAAGCUGUUACAAAUGCAAUAAAUUCACUUAUUAAGAGCUCUAGGAUGAACAUCAGUUUAUGUGGAAAGCUAAGGCAAACCCAAACACUUUGUCUUCAGUGGCUCUGUAUCCACAGCUAUAAUUUCACAUUCCUCAAUUUGUUCCACCUUGAACAAAUAUGGUUUCAGUUGGUUCUCUCAGUGCUUGCUUCACAUUCCUUUACUGUGGUCAGACGGGCUGAUAUUCUCUUUAACAUCAUAUCUUGAACUACUCCUAAAGUCAGAUCAUUACAUGAAAGUUAAUUGGACCUUCAGAAUCUCUUAAGCCUUUCUCUAGUCAGUUGUGAUUAAUCUCUCUCUUUCCUAAUGUAACACAGACCCUAUCUUUUCCAUUUCCACUGAAAGAGAUGAAUUAUGUCACUUGUUAUAAGUCUAGCAAUUUUAUAAGCUGCUCACAUAAAGUAGAUAGAAAUGCAGUGUGAAUCUUCAGAAAUCUAAGCCCAGAUACUUAAGACUGAAUACAGUGAAAUUCCUUUGUUAUCUUGAUUUUUCCGGUUUUGGUCACUUGAUUUCUUUUUUCUUUUGACAGCUAGCCUUCAGUUGUUGGUUGUUUUUUUUCUUUAAUCAUUCAUUUUAUGAAAAAUUAUAGAACAAAAUGUAUCUGGGAUAUUUUCCUAAGAUAUUUUCAGGGUUGACUCUCCCCUCUAUCAGACGCUGUAAACUCUCUAAUAGUAGUGUUCCAAACCAUAAAAAAAUAUGCAAGCAAAUUUGUUCUUUUCUACCUUGUCCUUGCUACAUUAAUCUGAUGAGGCUAACAAGUUGUACAGAAUAAAAAUGUAGUUAAGUCAGAUUAACGUCACUGUUUGAAGCAACUGCAAGCCAAUCAAGACUAUUCAACAUUAAAUGCAUUUUAUAACCAUUAUGAUAAUCAGCCUAGUAAGAAAGUGAUCAUUUUCAAUUUCUUUCAGAUUGAAUGUCAGGAUAACUCUACUAUUAAGUUGAUUAACUCAGCUUCAUCUUCUUCCAAAUGGGCUGCUUUCAGUAGAAACAGAUAACUCCACGAAAUUGAAGUAUAACUUUAAAAAAUCAGAUAUAUAAGCACAAAACUUGGUUCUCUCAUUCAUUUUGCAGCACAGUGGCCACAGCAAUUUCCUGACAUGAUCUGAACUUCUCUGAUGUAAGUUAAACGAGUUCAGAGCAUGGAAACUGUGGAAAUUUAUU